CUACGGAAGGUCCGGGCGUUAUCCGGAUUUAUUGGGUUUAAAGGGAGCGCAGGCGGAGAUGCAAGCGUGACGUCAAAUUUCGGGGCUCAACCCCGUCUCGCGUCGCGAACUGCGUCCCUUGGUUGCGGGAAGGGGAGGCGGAACUCGUGGUGUAGCGGUGAAAUGCAUAGAUAUCACGAAGAACUCCGAUCGCGAAGGCAGCCUUCCGGCCCGUCAACGACGCUCAUGCUCGAAGGUGCGGGUAUCAAACAGGAUUAGAUUCCCUGGUAGUCCGCACAGUAAACGAUGGACACCCGCGGUUUGGCCUGUAUGGCUGAGCCGCCAAGCGAAAGCGUUAAGUAAUCCACCUGGGGAGUACGCCGGCAACGGUGAAACUCAAAGGAAUUGGCGGGG
rnacentral:rRNA from 1 species